UCUGAUUGCCAUACCCUUUCAGGCUGUGACCUUGUCAUGUCUCAAAAGCUAAGAAGGUCUGGCCUGGCUAGCACUUGGGUGGGAGUCCUCCAGGCAAACCCCAGAAUGCUGAUAAAA
rnacentral:rRNA from 1 species